rnacentral:rRNA from 1 species
GAGUUUGAUCCUGGCUCAGAACGAACGCUGGCGGCAGGCCUAACACAUGCAAGUCGAGCGCGCCUUUCGGGGUGAGCGGCGGACGGGUUAGUAACGCGUGGGAAUAUACCCUUUGGUACGGACUAGCCUCUGGAAACGGAGAGUAAUACCGUAUGAGCCCUUUGGGGGAAAGAUUUAUCGCCAAGGGAUUAGCCCGCGUUAGAUUAGGUAGUUGGUGGGGUAAUGGCCUACCAAGCCUACGAUCUAUAGCUGGUUUUAGAGGAUGAUCAGCAACACUGGGACUGAGACACGGCCCAGACUCCUACGGGAGGCAGCAGUGGGGAAUCUUGGACAAUGGGGGCAACCCUGAUCCAGCCAUGCCGCGUGAGUGAUGAAGGCCUUAGGGUCGUAAAGCUCUUUCGCCUGUGAAGAUAAUGACGGUAGCAGGUAAAGAAACCCCGGCUAACUCCGUGCCAGCAGCCGCGGUAAUACGGAGGGGGUUAGCGUUGUUCGGAAUUACUGGGCGUAAAGCGCACGUAGGCGGAUCGGAAAGUUGGGGGUGAAAUCCCGGGGCUCAACCCCGGAACUGCCUCCAAAACUAUCGGUCUAGAGUUCGAGAGAGGUGAGUGGAAUUCCGAGUGUAGAGGUGAAAUUCGUAGAUAUUCGGAGGAACACCAGUGGCGAAGGCGGCUCACUGGCUCGAUACUGACGCUGAGGUGCGAAAGUGUGGGGAGCAAACAGGAUUAGAUACCCUGGUAGUC